AUUGCAUGGUGGUGGUUGGGUCCCACACAAAUACCUGACACCUGCAAGGGACCUGGGAAGGGCUGGGUGGCUGCCUGGUUGCACGGCUGGGCUGGUGGUCAGGAGAGCAGGGGUCAAGCCAAGGCAGGAGGUUCUAUUUUGUGGGAGCCUUUGUCCUGUUCCUUCCUCUCCUGAACUGAAGCAGAUGAUGUUUUGCCUCUGAGCUGUUGAUUUCCUUUCUUUGAAAGAGGCAGAGCAAACGCCAGGGAAUGAGCAGCAAUGCGGUAAGUGUGUCUAUGGGGCUGGGAGCCAGGGGGGCUGGGUUCUCUCCCUAGCUCUGCUGCUGAGUCACUGCAUGACUUUAGAUGAGCUCUGUCCCUCAGUUUCCCCCUCCAUAAAAGAGGAUUAUAAAUUUCCACCCCCUCCCCCGGAGCAGGACAGAAGGUCUUUCCAAUCCCCUGGGUAGUUUAUCUGGGGGGAGAGGGGGCCUCUGUGCAUUCCCCUUUGUUAUUACACAUCACCGAGCAGUCCCAGAGCAGUGGCUCGCGGCCUCACUUCUGCCUGCCUUGCAGCACCAGCCGGGCCCUGGGGAGACCCUGAUGUCUGGAUGCAUCUAUGAGAAGAACACCCAGGACUAUGGCCUGGGGCAGCCAGCCGCAUGUUAGAUACGCGCCUCCUCCUGGGGGAUAGCGCGACCACCGAGCUGUGCCCGGGCUCUCCGGCCGGCAUCGGGCAAUCCCACACCUACAGCCAGACAAUGAACAUGGGCAAAGUACUGCAGCCAGGUUUCCGCUCCCUUCUCCCCAGCCCUCAGGGCUCUGUGGGGCUGAAGUAGCCAGACCUUCAGGGCGAGGGGAAGAGGCCUUACCUGGGAGGAACAGCAGCCAGACGAGACGCCUCAAGGUGAUCCCUGAGCAGCUGCGGCACUGGGGAACAAAGGAAAGAGCGAAGGUUUGGUUGGUUCCUGCAAUGACCCAGAGCAACAUCAACCACCGGAGAGAGAGGAGCUAGAGGGGAGACUGCAGGGAACCUGUUACCUGCGGUAACCACUAGACCCCACUCCCCUCUCAAGGCUGGGGAGAGAACCCAGGCGUCCGGGCUGCCAGCCCCCUGCUCUAACUCACUAGCUGCUGGAUGGCGCAG
rnacentral:lncRNA from 1 species